rnacentral:rRNA from 1 species
GUGCCAGCAGCCGCGGUAAUACGUAGGAUGGCAAGCAGUUGUCCGGAAUUAUUGGGCGUAAAGCGCGCGCAGGCGGUCUCUUAAGUCUGAUGUGAAAGCCCCCGGCUCAACCGGGGAGGGUCAUUGGAAACUGGGAGACUUGAGUGCAGGAGAGGGAAGCUGGAAUUCCAUGUGUAGCGGUGAAAUGCGUAGAGAUAUGGAGGAACACCAGUGGCGAAGGCGGCUUCCUGGCCUGUAACUGACGCUGAGGCGCGAAAGCGUGGGGAGCAAACAGGAUUAGAUACCCUGGUAGUCCACGCCGUAAACGAUGAGUGCUAGGUGUUAGGGGGUUUCCGCCCCUUAGUGCUGCASSUAACGCAUUAAGCACUCCGCCUGGGGAGACGGUCGCAAGCUGAAACUCAAAGGAAUUGACGG